rnacentral:rRNA from 1 species
GACGAACGCUGGCGGCGUGCUUAACACAUGCAGGUCGAACGGAAAGGCCUUUUCGGAGGUACUCGAGUGGCGAACGGGUGAGUAACACGUGGGUGAUCUGCCCUGCACUCUGGGAUAAGCCUGGGAAACUGGGUCUAAUACCGGAUAGGACCGCACUUUAGUGUGUGUGGUGGAAAGUUUUUUCGGUGUAGGAUGAGCCCGCGGCCUAUCAGCUUGUUGGUGGGGUAAUGGCCUACCAAGGCGGCGACGGGUAGCCGGACUGAGAGGUUGGUCGGCCACAUUGGGACUGAGAUACGGCCCAGACUCCUACGGGAGGCAGCAGUGGGGAAUAUUGCACAAUGGGCGCAAGCCUGAUGCAGCGACGCCGCGUGGGGGAUGACGGCCUUCGGGUUGUAAACUCCUUUCGCCAGGGACGAAGCGUUUUGUGACGGUACCUGGAGAAGAAGCACCGGCUAACUACGUG